GGGCACGAACCCGUGUCCCCUGCAUCGGCAGGGGGACUCUCAACCACUGUGCCACCAGGGAAACCCUUAGCCCUUUCUUAUACGUCCAUCUAUGAUCUGAAUGUUGGACAGGUCCCUUCAACACAGUGACCACGCAUUUCCUCAUUGAUUUUUGUUCAACGUUAGACUGAAGAGCCCCUUUUCCUAUCCUAAUCCUUUUCUGCUCAUGUACAAAUUAAUUUAUCCAAUAGUUCAUAUGUUGAUUCCUGAGAUGUGAGGAGCUGGAUGUGUAUAUAAUAGGUAAAAUAAGUUAUUUAUUGGGCAGCUACUAUGUGCUUGCUCAGUGCUGGAGAGAAAAAGUACAAUACUUGUCCACAAGGAGCAAACAUACACAUCAGAGAAUGAGUCACAAGUAUUUAUUUAUUCAGCAUCUUGAAGUGCCCAGCAUCACACAAGUGACAAGAAGUAUCUCUGCUUUUAUUUGUGGACCAGGGCGGGUGAGUACAGAGGAGGCUCUUAGUCCAGCCUGGGAGGUGGAGGGAGGGGGGAGCUGGGGCGGGGCAGAGGUCCCCUGGUGGGGAGGGAGGAGGCGCAGACCCUCAGAGACCACCUGAGAGCCCAGCAGAAGCCCCUGGCCUCCUGGAAGGGGAGGUCAGAGGCUGCUUCCGGGUGGUGGGGCCAGCUGAGUCACCAGCUCCCUCUUGACUGGCUGCCCCAAGCUCUGGUCUUGUUGGAAGAGAUUUCAGAUACACAAACCCCAAGCUUUCCAGAGGACGUUCUGUAGGACACAGACUCUUGGAUGUUACUGGAUGCCUCAUGGGGAACAGGUCAUGAAGGACACUCUGAAACCAAGGGCCCUGAGGACUGGCAUCAGCUAGAUCCACUCCACCUAUGAUCUGCCUUCCCCCAUCAAGUUCACUUCAAUUUUUUAACAACAGCUGCUUUAAAAAAGUUUAUUAAUUUAUUUUUUUGGCUGCGUUGGGUCUUCGUUGCUGUGUGCGGGCUUUCUCUAGUUGCAGCAUUGCUUGAAUUGUUUUUAUGAAAACUUGCGUAUCCUCUGAGUGGCACGGAGCCUAAGCGUUAAGACGUUUGCCUGAGUUGUUGCUUCAGGAACUUGGUAUCAGCUGUUGGAUGUCCAGUUCGAGCUGAGCUGCUGAGUGGUUAGGACCACUGACCCUCCAACUGAAACCGAGCACUGGGCUCAUGUGCCUGCGGGCAGAAAGUCAGCCUCUGAUGGCGGGCUUUGCAGCAAACUAAGGAUGUUGUUUGCAGGGUGCCGAGCAAGGGAGCGGGGGGCAGGCCUCAGACCCACUGCAACGUCGUCUCCGAGUUAGUGGUUUUUAAAGGGUAAGAACAGAGGGGCUGGGGUUCAUCACCUUAAUCGUCUGUGACCUGGGGGUCUCUAUCUCUGUAACCUGUACAGGCCAUCUUGCCCCGCAAGAUGACUCAGAAUGGCGCGUGAACAUGAUGCUUAUUGGGAAGCUGAAGCUCCAGGCACCCGACCUGCAUUGCUCCUUACUGAUGAGGCAAACGUGACCAUCCUCAUCCCGUAAAUACCCGUCCUCGGCCCUUGGGUAGGCGGCCUCUUUUCUCUGCUCUCAACCUCGGCAUCUCGGCAUCUGGCUCAGUGACACUUCUGCCUCUGCUCCAUCCAUGCCUUUCUCUACUCUGCAGCUAGAGCCCCGCAAACUAACUCGGGGUCAUCGUGAAGGUAGGGUCCCCAUCGCCCUCACCCGCUCAGCUCCCUGGGCACAAGCCACUGAGCACCAUGGGCCCCAAAACCAGGCCCCAGGCCCAACCACUGGCACCCUGGCCCCUCUUUUCGGCUGCAUUGGGUCUUCGUUGCUGCACGCGGGCUUUCUGUAGUUGCAGCGAGCGGGGGCUACUCUUCCUCGCGGUGUGCGGGCUGGUCAUUGCGGUGGCUUCUCUUGUUGCAAAGCACGGGUUCUAGGCGCACUGGUUUCAGUAGCUGUGGCUUGCGAGCUCUAGAGCACAGGCUCAGUAGUUGGGGCACGUGGGCUUAGCUGCU